AUUAAUUUAGCGCCUGGACAUAACUGCAUUUUUUAUGGAUUUUUUAUACAUAUUAUCCACACACAAAUGCACAAAUGUUGACGAGGAAGAAACUUAUCGAAAAAUUCGGCGGAUGGUUUCUUGGCAUCAGAUUACUGCCAUAAAUAUUAGCAAAGUCUGGUAGUGAUACUAGUUUUAAAUCUA
rnacentral:ncRNA from 1 species